UCAAACCUCCAAGAACGUCCACACAAGCGCCUAGCUUCAACGUGUCGAUUGGGCAAGUCUCUGGCUUAGGUGGAGUUGGUGUUGGCGGUGUUACGACCGGUGGGCUUGGUGUUGGUGGCGUAACAACAGGUGGCGGUGGGCACGGUGAUGGCGGUGGCGGUGGGCACGGUGAUGGCGGCGUUACGACGGGUGGAGGCGUAUGAGUGGGUGGUUUAGGGGUGGACGGAGGUGGUUUAACAGUGGGCGGUUUCGUGGGUGGUUUCGGGGUAGACGGAGGAGGUUUAACGGUGGGCGGUUUCGUGGGUGGUUUCGGGGUGGACGGAGGUGGUUUAACGGUGGGCGGUUUCGUGGGUGGUUUCGGGGUGGGAUGAGGUUUGGUAGGGGGUUUCGGAUGUGGGUGUGGUUUGACAGUGGGCGGUUUGGUAGGGGGUUUAGGGUGUGGGUGUGGUUUGACGGUGGGUGGUUUGGGAGGUUUUACUGCCGGUGGUUUAGGCGGUUUGCUAGGAUGUUUAGGCGGUUUGUGGGGGUGAGGUGAUGGUUUAGGAGGGCUACAGUCGCAAGCGAAGGAGACGGCAAGAAAGCCAAGGAAGAGGAAGAUAAGAAAAGAGAG
rnacentral:lncRNA from 1 species